rnacentral:lncRNA from 1 species
UUAUUUUAUAUGUAUAACAAUUAAGAAAUUGAAUGGUAUGUAUGGUUAAGCCGAUCUAAUGGUCACCAAUUUUUAAUUUUUAAUUUAGUAUAUAUAUGUAUAUAAUUAUUAUAGUUUUUAGGGGUAUAAAAUUGUUAAAUUAAUAUAUAUAAUUAUUAUAAUAUUUUUUAAGGGUUAUAAAAUUAUUAAAUUAAUAUUUUGCUUAUCGUGUAUCGUGUUACCCACGUGUAUACCCGAACCAACCCGUUAUUUUAACAGGUGCUUAUAGGGUUACCCGAUAACAACCCGAUUUGUUAUCGUGUCUACUCGAACACCUGUUAAUUUCGUGUCGUGUCGUGUCAGGUUAUCGGAUCCUGUCAGGAAUUGCCAGGCCUAGGGGCGGUUAUGAAUAACAACUGUUCAAGAAAAAUUGAGUUGGAAAUAAAUCCAAACUUAUGCAAUAUUGCUUUACAAAGGGAAAAUCGUGGAGGUUAUUUUUUACAUAUGAAUACUAACCUGCAAUUUUGAGUGUGACAAACCUUGUUAUGCUGAAUCUCGUGACAACGUAGAAAAUAUUCCAAAAUAAUGACACAAAAGAAUAUAUGAUAAAAAACCGAGAAAAUAGAAACGAAAAUACCACUCAAGCACCCAAUGGCAUUGUGAUUCUUUGUAUCCUCUUGAAAUGAAAUGGGUUAGAGCCUCAUCACAUCUUUAUGCUGCAAUUCAAAAAAGCAUGAUCAAAUCUCGAAAUUGAUUAGUAAUAGAAGAAUCUAAUGGAUACUGGAGGAAAAAAAAAGAAAAAGAAAAAGAAAAAAGCCUGAAAGGAAAAGAAAAACAAAAAUAAUAUUUGAAUGCUUGAGAUGAUUGAAUAAGUAAUGGAGGAAGAAAUGGAGCGUAUGGAAGAAAAUGAAUGUUUUACGCUGGCCAAGGUUUUGAGGGAGGAGUGGAGUUUGAUUCAAACUGCAACGGGCUAUUUUGAAAGUGUAGGAACGUGUUGCAACAGUUGUGAAAGAGUGGGAAUGUGUUGCAGUGUGUUUCAGACUAUAACUCAGCUCAACUUGAUAACUGUUUUUUAUCAAACUACCCUUUGGGAUGAUGAAUCAGUUUUUCACGUCAGUUUUGGUCUCUUUACCAGUUUGUCCUCAUUUUCCUUUUUUUUUCUUUUUUCUUUUUUUUGUGUGUGUGUGUUUGAUUGUGAAAGAAACAAAGGGGCAUUUUAGGGGUUUAGAAUGCUUCACUUAUUUGGGCUUAUCACUUUAUACAUACAAAGUGGUUCGGUAUGAGAUUUCAAGCCAAAAAUGGGAUCCCGAAUCCUCAACAACAACAACAAAGCAUUUUCCCAUUAAGUGGGGUCGGCUAUAUGAAUCCUAGAA